UAGUGAGUUUGAUCCUGGCUCAGGAUGAACGCUAGCGGCAGGCCUAAUACAUGCAAGUCGAACGAGACCUUCGGGUCUAGUGGCGCACGGGUGCGUAACGCGUAACCAACCUGCCCUUGACUGGGGGAUAGCCCGCCGAAAGGCGGAUUAAUACCGCAUAAACUCACAGUGUGGCAUCACACAAUGAGUAAAGAUUUAUUGGUCAAGGAUGGGGUUGCGUGACAUUAGCUAGUUGGCGGGGUAACGGCCCACCAAGGCUACGAUCUUUAGCUGGUCUGAGAGGAUGAUCAGCCACACUGGGACUGAGACACGGCCCAGACUCCUACGGGAGGCAGCAGGUGGGGAAUAUUGGACAAGUGGGGCGAAAGCCUGAUCCAGCAAUGCCGCGUGAGUGAUGAAGGUCCUUCGGUUG
rnacentral:rRNA from 1 species